rnacentral:rRNA from 1 species
ACGAACGCUGGCGGCGUGCUUAACACCUGCCAGUCGAACGCUGAAGCUUGGUGCUUGCACUGGGUGGAUGAGUGGCGAACGGGUGAGUAAUACGUGAGUAACCUGCCCUUGACUCUGGGAUAAGCCUGGGAAACUGGGUCUAAUACUGGAUACGACAUGUCACCGCAUGGUGGUGUGUGGAAAGGGUUUUACUGGUUUUGGAUGGGCUCACGGCCUAUCAGCUUGUUGGUGGGGUAAUGGCUCACCAAGGCGACGACGGGUAGCCGGCCUGAGGGGGUGACCGGCCACACUGGGACUGAGACACGGCCCAGACUCCUACGGGAGGCAGCAGUGGGGAAUAUUGCACAAUGGGCGGAAGCCUGAUGCAGCGACGCCGCGUGAGGGAUGACGGCCUUCGGGUUGUAAACCUCUUUCAGCACGGAAGAAGCGAAAGUGACGGUACGUGCAGAAGAAGCGCCGGCUAACUACGUG